GAUGAAGAACGUAGCGAAAUGCGAUAAGUAAUGUGAAUUGCAGAAUUCAGUGAAUCAUCGAAUCUUUGAACGCACAUUGCGCCCGCCAGUAUUCUGGCGGGCAUGCCUGUUCGAGCGUCAUUACAACCCUCAGGCCCCCGGGCCUGGCGUUGGGGAUCGGCGGAAGCCCCCUGCGGGCACAACGCCGUCCCCCAAAUACAGUGGCGGUCCCGCCGCAGCUUCCAUUGCGUAGUAGCUAACACCUCGCAACUGGAGAGCGGCGCGACCACGCCGUAAAACACCCAACUUCUGAAUGUUGACCUCGAAUCAGGUAGGAAUACCCGCUGAACUUAAGCAUAUCAAUAAGCGGAGGA
rnacentral:misc_RNA from 1 species